UACAGAGGGUGCGAGCGUUAAUCGGAAUUACUGGGCGUAAAGCGCGCGUAGACGGUUUUGUAAGUCAGAUGUGAAAUCCCUGGGCUCAACCUGGGAACUGCAUUUGAGACUGCAUGGCUAGAGUAUCGAAGAGGGAAGUGGAAUUUCCGGUGUCAGCGGUGAAAUGCGUAGAUAUCGGAAGGAACACCAGUGGCGAAAGCGACUUCCUGGUCGAAUACUGACGUUCAUGUGCGAAAGCGUGGGGAGCAAACAGG
rnacentral:rRNA from 1 species